CUAAAAAUGUUAUAUUGGAUGAGUCUUUGGAAACAUCAAUCGAAGAAAAUAAUGUCGAUCAGCAAAAUAAUAACAUUAAUUUUAAAACAAGUACACUUUUGGAAGAAUGUUUGGAAACUUCAAAUAAACAAGUCGAUCAACAAGAUUUAGUUAUUAGUUUCCCUGCAAACGAGAUUUUAGAUACAUCUUUUUUAAAUGCUUUAAUGGAAAACACAAAUUAUCAAGAAG